rnacentral:rRNA from 1 species
GCCAUGCAUGUCUAAGUACUUAGCCGCAUUAAGGUGAAACCGCGAAUGGCUCAUUAAAUCAGUUAUGACUCAUUAGAAAUUGACCGCUACACGGAUAACUGUGGCAAUUCUAGAGCUAAUACAUGCACCAAAGCUCCGACCUUCGGGAAGGAGCGCACUUAUUAGACCAAGACCAAUGGAGCAUUCGUGUUCCGAUCUGGGUGACUCUGAAUAAUUGCGCUGAUCGCAUGGCCUUAGAGCCGGCGACGAAUCUUUCAAGUUUCUGCCUUAUCAACUGUCGAUGGUAGGUUAUGUGCCUACCAUGGUUGUAACGGGUAACGGGGAAUCAGGGUUCGAUUCCGGAGAGGGAGCCUGAGAAACGGCUACCACAUCCAAGGAAGGCAGCAGGCACGCAAAUUACCCACUCCCAGAACGGGGAGGUAGUGACGAAAAAUAACAAAGUGGGACUCUUACGAGGCCCCACUAUUGGAAUGAGAACAAUUUAAAUCCUUUAACGAGGAUCGAUUGGAGGGCAAGUCUGGUGCCAGCAGCCGCGGUAAUUCCAGCUCCAAUAGCGUAUAUUAAAGUUGUUGCGGUUAAAAAGCUCGUAGUUGGAUCUCAGUCCAAGUCAAGCGGUCCACUUUGCAGUGGUUAUUGCCUGACUGGGCAUUUUACUGAGCUGUCUUGGGGUGCUCUUAACCGAGUGUCUCAAGCGAUCAGUACGUUUACUUUGAAAAAAUUAGAGUGCUCAAAGCAGGCGCAAAGCCCGAAUAAUGUUGCAUGGAAUAAUGGAACGAUCUCGGUUCUAUUGUGUUGGUCUUCGGAGCCAGAGGUAAUGAUAAAGAGGGACAGACGGGGGCAUUCGUAUUGCGGCGCUAGAGGUGAAAUUCUUGGACCGUCGCAAGACGAACUAAAGCGAAAGCAUUUGCCAAGAAUGUUUUCAUUAAUCAAGAACGAAAGUUUGAGGUUCGAAGGCGAUCAGAUACCGCCCUAGUUCAAACCAUAAACGAUGCCAACCAGCAAUCUGCCUGAGUUUCUUCAAUGACUCGGCAGGCGGCUUCCGGGAAACCAAAGUUUUUCGGUUCCGGGGGAAGUAUGGUUGCAAAGCUGAAACUUAAAGGAAUUGACGGAAGGGCACCACCAGGAGUGGAGCCUGCGGCUUAAUUUGACUCAACACGGGGAAACUCACCCGGCCCGGACACUGUAAGGAUUGACAGAUUGAGAGCUCUUUCUUGAUUCAGUGGGUGGUGGUGCAUGGCCGUUCUUAGUUGGUGGAGCGAUUUGUCUGGUUAAUUCCGAUAACGAACGAGACUCUAGCCUAUUAAAUAGAGCGCAAUCUCACUUGCGAUUGCGAGACUUCUUAGAGGGACAGGCGGCGUAUCAGCCGCACGAAACAGAGCAAUAACAGGUCUGUGAUGCCCUUAGAUGUCCGGGGCCGCACGCGCGCUACAAUGAAGUGAUCAGCGUGCGCUUGCCUGGUCUGACAAGACCGGGUAACCCAGUGAAACCUCUUCGUGAUUGGGAUUGGAGAUUGUAAUUAUUGUCCAUGAACGAGGAAUUCCCAGUAAGUGCGAGUCAUCAACUCGCAUUGAUUACGUCCCUGCCCUUUGUACACACCGCCCGUCGCUACUACCGAUUGAAUGAUUUAGUGAGGUCUUCGGAUUGGCCGGUGCGGCUAACUUCGGUUG